rnacentral:rRNA from 1 species
UACGAGGGGGGCAAGUGUUGUUCGGAAUUACUGGGCGUAAAGGGAGCGUAGGCGGGCUCUUAAGUUGGAUGUUUAAAACCGGGGCCUAACCCCGGCGUGGCAUCCAAAACUGGGAGUCUUGAAUGGGACAGAGGCCAGUGGAAUUAGAGGUGUAGCGGUGAAAUGCGUAGAUAUCGGAAGGAACACCUGUGGCGAAAGCGGCUCACUGGACCAUUACUGACGCUGAUGCACGAAAGCUAGGGGAGCAAACGGG